AUUGAACGCUGGCGGCAGGCCUAACACAUGCAAGUCGAGCGGAGCGGCGGACGGGUGGGUAAUGCCUGGGAAUCUGCCUGGCAGUGGGGGAUAACUUCCGGAAAGGGGCGCUAAUAACGCCUACUAUCAGAUGAGCCUAGGUGGGAGUAGCUAGCUGGUCGGGUAAAGGCCUACCAAGGCGACGAUCCGUAACUGGUCUGAGAGGAUGAUCAGUCACACUGGAACUGAGACACGGUCCAGACUCCUACGGGAGGCAGCAGUGGGGAAUAUUGGACAAUGGGCGAAAGCCUGAUGCAGCCAUGCCGCGUGUGUGAAGAAGGUCUUCGGGUUGUAAAGCACUUUAAGUUGGGAGGCGUUACCAACAGAAUAAGCACCGGCUAACUUCGUGCCAGCAGCCGCGGUAAUAC
rnacentral:rRNA from 1 species